AACGAACGCUGGCGGCAGGCUUAACACAUGCAAGUCGAGCGCCCCGCAAGGGGAGCGGCGGACGGGUGAGUAACACGUAGGUAACCAACCCUCGAGCGUGGGACAACCCAGGGAAACGUGGGCUAAUACCGCAUAAGACCACGGACUGGGCUGGAUGCGGUAAAAGUAGCAAUACACUUGAGGAUGGGCCUGCGGCCUAUCAGGUAGUUGGUAAGGUAACGGCUUACCAAGCCUAAGACGGGUAGCCGGACUGAGAGGUUGAACGGCCACACUGGAACUGAGACACGGCCCAGACUCCUACGGGAGGCAGCAGUGGGGAAUCUUAGACAAUGGGCGCAAGCCUGAUCUAGCCAUGCCGCGUGAGCGAUGAAGGCCUUAGGGUUGUAAAGCUCUUUCAGCUGGGAAGAUAAUGACUGUACCAGCAGAAGAAGCCCCGGCUAACUCCGUGCCAGCAGCCGCCGUAACAC
rnacentral:rRNA from 1 species